AAUAAUUAAAUUAAGUAAAUAUAUCACUAAAAAUAUAGAAUCCAACCAAUAACCUUACAGCCCCUCUCUCUAAAAAAAACUAGGGUUCACAAUCUAAGUGCUGUGACUGUUUGAAGGCGACGACGACGACGACUUGGUGGCAACGACGACUUGGUGGUGACAGCGACGAAACCUAGCGGGAUCAUUACUCUUAUUGAUGAGGCUUGGCAAGCACCCGGUGGUAGAAACGAUAAUCUAACGUCUUGGUGGCUAUUCUAACACUGUGCAGUUAGUGAUGCCAAAUUUGCCAAGUUUGAGGUGUUAGUCAAGAAGCAUAUGCCGCAAGUAUUUGAGGAUGGGGAAGAUAGUGAAUCAGAUGAUUAGAUUAUAUUGUAGUGGUUGGUUCUUGUUUAUGAUUGUGACAUUUAGACUUAAACUAUUACAAUUGAUUUGUGACGUUUAGACUUGUCUUGAAAUGCUUAAACUAUUUGAUUCCGCUAUUUGUUUUGGAUGUUUCAACAUGGUUGAAUUUUUAAGUUUA